AGAGUUUGAUCAUGGCUCAGGACGAACGCUGGCGGCGUGCUUAACACAUGCAAGUCGAACGGAAAGGCCCCUUCGGGGGUACUCGAGUGGCGAACGGGUGAGUAACACGUGGGUGAUCUGCCCUGCACUUUGGGAUAAGCCUGGGAAACUGGGUCUAAUACCGAAUAGGACCGCAUGCUUCAUGGUGUGUGGUGGAAAGCUUUUGCGGUGUGGGAUGGGCCCGCGGCCUAUCAGCUUGUUGGUGGGGUAAUGGCCUACCAAGGCGACGACGGGUAGCCGGCCUGAGAGGGUGUCCGGCCACACUGGGACUGAGAUACGGCCCAGACUCCUACGGGAGGCAGCAGUGGGGAAUAUUGCACAAUGGGCGCAAGCCUGAUGCAGCGACGCCGCGUGGGGGAUGACGGCCUUCGGGUUGUAAACCUCUUUCAGUAUCGGCGAAGCUCCAGGAUUUUCCUUGGGGUGACGGUAGGUACAGAAGAAGCACCGGCCAACUACGUGCCAGCAGCCGCGGUAAUACGUAGGGUGCGAGCGUUGUCCGGAAUUACUGGGCGUAAAGAGCUCGUAGGUGGUUUGUCACGUUGUCUGUGAAAACUCACAGCUUAACUGUGGGCGUGCGGGCGAUACGGGCAGACUGGAGUACUGUAGGGGAGACUGGAAUUCCUGGUGUAGCGGUGGAAUGCGCAGAUAUCAGGAGGAACACCGGUGGCGAAGGCGGGUCUCCGGGCAGUAACUGACGCUGAGGAGCGAAAGCGUGGGGAGCGAACAGGAUUAGAUACCCUGGUAGUCCAA
rnacentral:rRNA from 1 species